ACUCUCUGCUUGUUUUGAUCAGCCACCACUAAUAGUACCAGACAUAGAGCUUAUUCCUAGCAGAAUGAGAGAACUCUUCAUCAACUUCUCCAAGAACCCUCUCCUCCUCCUCCUCAUCUGUUCUUUAGACACACUGAGUUCAGUGUUCCAGCUGGCUGGCGGUGUUUGCUGGGGCUACCACCCACUACUGUUUCAACUGUCUGUCUGUGCUGGUGCUGCUGCCGAUGGAGGUGGCUACAGGGCUGAUGACCCACUUGGCCCACAUCGUGGUCACCAGCUUCAACAUACAGAGUGGAGAGUUGGAUAGCAUGUGAUCACCGCCAUCACCAUGGGAGAUGAGAGCAUGAGGAACAGGAGCCUGGUGAAGUACUGGUGCCACACCAAUCUAGUUAUGGUACUGACCUCUGUCAACACCAUCACUGUCUCAAAACUGUCACCUCCUCACUGUCAUCGCUGUCAUCAUUGUCACCCCCAGACCAUCUGUCUAACCACAUCACAGUCUCAACAAUUGAAAGGAAACACUUUGAAGUUUGUGGAAAUGUGAAUUGAAUGUAGGAGAAUAUAACAACAGAAAGGUCCCACUUCUAGCCAUCACUCUGGUUGUAAUUCCGGUGGUGUCCACAAGAUGGCAGCAGUGCAUGUACAAAGCAUCAGACGGAUAACUUGAAGUAUGAGCGAAGUAUGGGCUACCUGGCCCUGCUCUGCUCCUGCUUGGUUCUCCUGUUCAAGCUGAUCAAGGUCAAGAGGCAAAUUUUAUCUAGAAGGUCAUCAACACAGGUGGGUGCCCGAUGGAGAUAGAUUGCAAAAUGUUGAAACUAAACUAUGAACGCCAUGCAAAUUGGCCUACGGGCAACCUGACCAUGUUCGUGGGAGCAGGGAUGACCUUCAUUGUCCAGAGCAGCUCUCUUCCCCUCUGCCCUCACACCACUUACUGUAUAGGUGAGGGACGUCUGGCUAGGAAACACAUCUACCUACUCCAUUCCAUGCACGAGUAACAAUAAAUAUGGGCUAAAAUACCAAGAUUUUCAAAGAUUUUCUGUAAUGAUUGAUUAUCAAUAUCAUAGACAGAAUAAUAAUGAAUAGAGAGGGGUGGUUAUGAAAUAUUGCAUCUAUUCACAGAAAGAACA